GGUAGACAAGUCAUUGGCCAUGGUUGGGUCAGGGGUCACCGGGGGAGGGGUCGGAGGGAUGGGAACAGGGGGCUGGGUUAUAACAGCGUGGGUAGAGGGUAGGGACGGCAAAUCAGUCGGGAGGGGAGGAGGCAACGAGGUAGAGGGGGCCGGGUCAUCGGGAGGAGGUAACACUGGAGAAGGGGUUGGAGGGGUGGGAACGGGGGGCUGGGUCAGGGCGGUAAGGGCAGAGAUU